rnacentral:lncRNA from 1 species
GAAGUACCUUGACAAGGAGAAAUAGAAGGUAUAGAACUGUAGGACUGGAAAUGAAACGGAGAGAAACAACUUUAACAAUAUGACAAAGAUAAGAUUCUGCAAUAAAUUUCUUGAUUAUUUUUGUGCCUGAACUUAUAAGAAACUUGAAAUGAAACUAGUAAUGAAAUUAAAUUCACCUUUCAGGGUUGUUUACAGUGAAGCUCAGUGAUGUACACUGGGUGCUGAAAAUGGAAUUUCUUCUACUAAAGCUGAAAUAUUCUUGCUAAGAUAUUCUCCAAGCAACCCUGACAAGUAAUUUCUGCCCUUUCAGAACUGAGCAGGACUCUAGAGUACGAAGCCUAAUUUUCCAUGUUGUUCAGUCUGUGAAAUGUUCCUGAGGGUGGACUGAAAGCAAACUCUAGAAGCACUCCCACACAAAAACUGAGUAGCUUACCAACCGGACCUUCCCUACUUUGACUAGGACCUCUGGAUGAGAAAUGUUUUUGAAGACUGCUGACAAGAAGGGACAACUUAGUUAGACAUGAAUGAGAAACUGCUUCCAGGUAAGGCUGCACAAUGAGGUAGGAUGAACCUGUGUAUGUGCUUAGGAUUUACAAAAGAACUA